rnacentral:rRNA from 1 species
GACAGUGGGUGCAAACGUUGCUCGGAAUCACUGGGCGUAAAGGGCGUGUAGGCGGGAAGGAAAGUCAGAUGUGAAAUCCCUGGGCUCAACCCAGGAACUGCAUUUGAAACUCCCUUUCUUGAGUGUCGGAGAGGAAAGCGGAAUUCCUGGUGUAGAGGUGAAAUUCGUAGAUAUCAGGAGGAACACCGGUGGCGAAGGCGGCUUUCUGGACGACAACUGACGCUGAGACGCGAAAGCGUGGGGAGCAAACAGG